rnacentral:lncRNA from 10 species
UCCAAAGCUCUGGGAACUGACACUGCUGAGGACUUCCUUUCUCAGUCUCCACCUGGACAGUGGCAAUAUGGCAGCCUCAGAAAGGAAACCUUUUGCUAUCAGGGAUCAUCAUGGGCAGAUCACUGGCUAAGAGGAAAGAAGCUAACUGUGUAUCCAUGGUAGGCUUUGAUGAGAAGAUGCAGGUGAAGCUGUGGAACAAGGGCUGCUGGAGCUUUCUUAUCUGGGCUAAUGAUCAGGAAGCUUUCCAAGAAUGUGAUUUUAUAAUUGGAGAAGAAGAAGGAAGAGGAAGAUAAGGAAAAAGAGGAAGAGGAGUGACUCAAAUUCUUUGGAGCACUCACCAGCUAUGCUCCAGAUAGAGCAAGAACACUGAAUCAACCCAGCAUCACAUCUCUCAGUUAAGCA